rnacentral:lncRNA from 1 species
AGACGGCGGAGAACUGGGAUGGAGCGCGCCUUGGCCCGCUGGCCGUGGCUGCAGCUCCUCGGGAGAACCGGGGCGCCCACGCGAGAAUCUCCCCACCUGGGCCUCUCUUCAGGGAUGACAUCAUCCGUUCGCCUUGUCUUCAAGGACCACCUCUCCAUGCCAAGCUGUUGCCAAGCUGCUUGCGGCUCGUCUCCACCUCAUGAGGACACUAGGAGCACCGAUUCCUGGAUCCCCCCAGCAUACAAAGCAGCCGCUGGCAGAGACCCCCAGGACCAGGACGACGAGGGAUGAAGAGGACCAGGACUGACAAGCCAGCUGUCCCUCUUGGCUAAAGGCUUGAACCAGUGCCCUAGUGAGGGGGCACUGGCUGCUAACCCCUGAUCUUUGCUACGCUUGUGCUUGGUCUCUGUGAAUACUUUCCCAUAAGUCUCUGCUGUGUUAAUGUGCCGGCGACCUGGAGCGCUUCCCUCAGGGUGGCGUCAGUCUUUCUCCACUGACCCUGCUGUUGCCCUUAUGAUGUCCUGAACGGAAAGAUCCCUUUGGGAACUCCUCAGGAGGGGGACCUAGGCCAGAGGCUCCUCUAGCAUCUCACUGGCGAUUCCAAGGCCCAGGGUGGGCUUGUGGAAUGAGCAUGAGCCCUCAUGUCAUGCUACUGAACUGCCAAAGGCAUGCUCCCCUCUUUCGAGAUCCCCCGUCCUUUCUGGGCAAUGGGGAUGAGAAGUGCAACCUCCUAGGGUUGUUGUGAGUAUUAAAUGAGAGAAGGCAGCCUUGGGCAGGGCUGGGCAUAGAGGAUGCGGUCAGCAAAUGUUUGUUGAAAAAAUUUGGCAGGUCAAUCCAUUCCUACCUCUCUCACUUGUCGUACUUGUUCUCCCACAGCACUCCGGACAGCCCCUGUCCCCCAGGCUCUCCUUGCAUCAGGUAGGGGCUCCACCAGAGGGUCCUGGGCUGACCUGAAGGAAUACGAAUUAUGCAUGCGGUCAUUUCCAGAGCACUUUCUAUGUAGAUGAAUGUUCUUUCUAUGUCAUAGGAGUAUGUGUAUGAGGCGGCCUCAUUUACAGAUGAGAAUGAAUUUGUCAUUGAUUUGAGUAAUUUUCAAAAGGUGGGUGGGGAAGAGGACUCAUGAAAGCUGAGUGCCCCUCCCACGGGAUAGGGGUCACCCACGUUGGCAGUGAGGAUGGACGCCGAGGCUGGAGGGAUGUAAGUAUUUUGUCACACUGCUGGCAAGAGAAGAGGUCAUAGUUGGAUCCUGGGUGCCAUUGUAGCCGCCCUGUACCCCCUAGCCCAGAGUUAUAUUAAAAGCCCUUUGACGUCCAGUCAGACAUUUGACAAAGGGACAGUCUCUUUGAAAUCCCAGCUGCCCAGGGUGGUCUUGGGGUCUGGGUGGCCCCAGAGCUGGUACCCUGUGCUGGCUCCACCUCCCAGUAACAGUGUGACCUUAAACAAGUCGCUUAACUUCUCCGAGUCUCAGUUCCUUUCAUGGUCUAAAUGGGGAUUAAAAAAAAAAAAAAAAAAAAACCUCCGCGUUUAUCUACCCCACAGGGCGCUUUUGAAGACCAAAUGAUGUAACUGCUAUGAAAGUGCUUUGUAAAUUGCUGUGGAAAUUGCGAGAUACUUAUCCCCCGGAGGCUGUCCUCCGUCCUUCACAUGCCCAGCCCUCUUCUCCCGCAGUAGUAACAGCCAGCACCCAGUAGGUGCUGUGUGUGUUUGCACUCCAUAAGUAAAUUCCAGAAGAAAUAAAAACGGAAUUAAUUCAACAAACAUUUUCUGGAACCCUGACAAUAUGCCCAGCACACCAGGCCUGGGAUGUGAUACAAAGAUGAUGAAAACAGUCUCUUGGAAGCUAAUUGGGGUCCUCAUUUGACCAGCACUUUCUUUCGUCCCCUUUUAAGCCAACCAGUUUUGUCCGGACAAGACAAAAACAACUCAGGCCGCCUUGCAGAAGCCCAGCUUGGUGUGGACAAUAGCUCCCAGGCAUCUGAAAGGGCCUGAUUGGAUUAUGUGGCAAAUGAAGGUGGAAGGAUGACUUGGAAGGUGACAAAUGAAGUGGGCGGAGAUCUGCUUUGAGUUAAUCCAGGCUAUUAGGAGGCCACCUUUUGUCUUCCAGAGGCUGGCAGGAGCUUUUACCACUGGUUUUUACAUCCUUAAUGUAAGGACGCAUAAUUUAUGGUCAGUGAAAGUCCAGGCCCCGGUGAGAUUGGAGUGGGCUGUAAAAUUGAGCGUCCCGCUACCAGUGAGUAAUUACGGUGCCCGUUUCUGUCUCCUGUGUAGUAUGCAGAGCCCUUUCUGGCAACCGACAAUUCAUUUGAACCUCACAACUCCCUGUCCCGGCCCGGGGCUGGCCUGCACCUUCUAGGGGAACAGAGCCAUCAAGCGGCCUUUCAGAUUGGGGUCCCACCGUACAUGUGUACCCCCAUCGCCUCUCACCUUGUAAAGGAAGGGGUGCCCUCUGCUCUGGUCCCUCCUAUCUCAGCCCUGGACCUCCCACCAUCGGUUAUCCUCUGAAUUCCUAACUUUGCUCUCUCCACAGCCUCCCAGGUCCCUUCUGUCCUCCUUUCUAGCCACUACCGUUUCUCUCUUUCCUUUCGCAGCCAAGCUUCUCGAAAGGCCUGUCUUCACUUGCUGUCUUCCUUCCUCACCUCCAAUUUCCUCUUCAACCCACUGCCUCCUGACUUGCUCUACUCCAUCGAGCGGCUCUCACUAAGGUAAUAACUUUUCUGGAGCUUCACCUUGGCCACGUGUCUGGCUCUUGGACACAGGGACUCAUUCUUUCUCUUACAUAGCUUUUCGGCUCCGGUUCACUUCUGUUGACACACUCCCUGUAGACCUCACGGGGACACCUGCUCCUGGCUUCCCUCAUUUCUUAGUUUUCCCAGAAACUUGCAUAUCCGGAUCUCCUAAUGUCUGGAAGCUGCCUCUUGCCAUCUCGCCCUGGGUUCGAGCCUUGGCUAGCCCACUUAGUGCUGGGGCCUUGAGGUAGGUCAGUUUUCCCAAGCCACCUUUUUCUCAGUUGUAAAAUAGGGUUAAUCGUCUUUACCUGGCAGGUGAGGUGGGCUAUCUUGCAGGUAAGAACCAGAGACGAUUUGAAAGACUUAAAAUAAAGUCAAUCAGGUAUUCAGGAGAAAAUAUAAUUGGAGUCCCCAUUAGAUUUCCUUACAGGUUGAAACCGUUCCCAUGGGGAGGACCAAAGCGAGAAGAAAGAGGUGGAGAGGGGCGGGGGGGGGGGGGGGGAGUGGGAGAGAAAGAAGAAAAGAAUUUACAGAAAAACCCACUAAAGACAAAAAAGUAGGGGGGAGAGGUUUAGAGAAUAUUAAAAUCUACCAAAAAAGACAUCCAGAGAAAGGUUUUCAGUUUCGGCUGAAAGAAAGUAAACAGGAAAAAGGUUUUAAAUUGAUUAUCCCAGUGACAAAUCCCAGGAAGCUUUCAAAUCAAAUUGCCCCAUUUUGGGUUUUUAACUCCUUCUAUCAAGUUUAACCUCUUUACCUCCUGCAUCCUGGUUAGACCCCCCUGCCCCCCCUUUGCUGGUGAUUAAAUCCCCAAGGUGCACAGGAGUCUUUCAAUGAAUGAAUGGCUGACAGAAAGAGCCCACCCCUCCCCCCAGCUGUGUUUUUCAGUUUUAUUCCACUUUCCGCCCUUUUCCCUUAAUGAACACAGGGCUAAUCUUAGGCCCUGUCAAGGAGGAGGCUGCAGACGUUAAUGAGGUAGCCGCUGGAUUCCAAUAUUCGUCUCAUAAGGAGCCUUCUUUGUCUGCAAAGGAAAAACACACUGAUUAUCAUAAUGAGGUGAACUGGCGUCCACAGGGCAGGGCCACUCGCUUCUUCGCCCACACUUCUAAUUUUGGGGCUGGAGCUGAGGUUUCAUUUGCUCCCCCUUUAAGUCUUUGCCUCCAUCCCUGCGAGCAGUCCAUUGAGCGGGGUUGAAAGUUGAAGGCAGCUUUGGGAAGCGGGCUGCAGAUAGGGCUGCUUUGUGGAAAGUUUCUUUGUUCGACCCUAUACCCAGGGCAAGGGCGAGUCACACCUCUUGGGUUCCUUCUCCGAGGGCUGAGGACUGAGAGCACACAUUUCCCCGUCCGGCACGCACCUGACUUGUUCCAGGACCACUGAACAUUCACACUUACUCAAGAUUACCAAAGGUAGAAUGGUGCCAUGUCAUAGGGGUAGAACCGGUGGAAUUAUCACAAAGUCAACACCCAUGGGAUGCUCCACUUAGGUCAAGAAAUGGAUGGAUGUUGGUGCCCCAGAGGGCCACCCCCUGGAAGGGUGUGCUUUAGGGUCCAUGUUUGGCUCCCGAAUGCUGUUAGAGAGGUUCAGAGUCCAGCAGUGUGUUAGGAUCACUCAGCGAACCAAGUGCCAGAGGGAACAUUACAGCUCAGAUCGGGCAUCAGAACCUGUAGACGCUCCUUUCACGCCCCAACGUCGCCCUCUCCCAUGUGUCCUGCAGCCCGCCUGAAUCCCCCUUCUGUCCUGACCCUUGAGCUCCCCAGAGCCCAUUCUUGUCUCUAGAGCAGGUGUGCCUCAAGUCUGCCCUUAUGUGUCCCGAAUUGUGGACAUUUCUCACCCCAAGGCAGAUCAAUCAAGAUCAGAUCACUCCAAUUAAACUUUAAUUCCAGCUUUAGCCAGACUUUCAGCCAAGUGGAAGAAAACUAAGGGAGAAGCGAGGUGGUUGGAGCCAGAAAAUUUUAUUAGUAGAAAACUUCCUCCCUUAACUUAUCUCUUGGCUAAAGGUUCCCUGGCAUCAUGGGUCAGAAUUAGACAUGUUUUCCAAGUUAGCAAAACCAACUCUUGUCCAACAUCCCCAAAAAAUCUCGAAGGAUGUCUAGGUGGCUGGGUGGGGUGAUUCCACCCCUUUGGGUGGAGGUGACCCAGAGGUCGCCCGGAUUAGGAACCAGGAUGAGGUUGAGCACCUCUGAAAAUGGUGAUCCCACAGAAACCUACCCCACUACCCCACGCAGUCAUUGAAGAGUGAAAGAAGAGCAGUUCUGGGGGUUGCUAAGUGAGGACUUUUAAAUAGGAACAAAAUCACAGGACCCUUCCCACCCUCAAACACCACUGAUAAUUAAAAGAUGAGCCCCAAAGCCAUUAAUAUGCCAGCAUUUGAGAACCUGGGGAGGGGGUGGAAGGCAUGAGUCGGCCAGGAUCUUCAGGGUGUGCUUACUCCCAGGACCCUAACAGCGCCUGCCACAUGGUGAAACUCCCAGCCGGACUCCUGCUUGGGUUUCUGGAAAGCAGGCAGUCGUCUUAAACUUUCCUGAGGCCACCAGCAGAGAAUCUGAGCUGAUUGCCUCCUUGAGUGGGGGGGUUGCCCCUUUUAACUUGCCUUCUUGGUUCUGUGGCACCCCUUUCAUGCCUGGGAUGGACGCGGCUCUCAGCUGCCUGUGGACUCAGGACCCCUGCACCACAUCUCCAGCCCACUGUAGGCUUCCCGUGUUGGUCACCUGACCCCUGGAGCCCACUGGUCUCAAGAUCCGUCAUUAAGUCAGUCCUGGAGGCUCAGGAGAUGUGGGAGGAGGCAGCUUAAGCAGAUGGGAAACCAGAGGAGUGAGGCCAGGAGAUGCCCCCAAUUCUGAGUUUCUGUUUUUCUGCUUUUCCUGCCUCCGUUUCUGUUCUCCAUCUCCCCUUCGUCUCCCCUGCUUCUCCAUCAUGUCCUAACCCCAUCCUCUGGGGGUACCCUAGGCCAGCCCACACCUCCUUGGGGUGUCCCAGUACCAGCUUGGCAAAAAAGUGGGGCUCAGUAAGAGUAUGUGGGAUGUCUGUUUGGACAGGUGAGUCAAUGAAGGAACUCGGCCACCACACCUGAGCUGCUAGACGGGAGGCAUCGGGGUGCAAGGAGUUUGAGGUCAAAAGGGUGGAGGGGCCGUUUGCUUUGACUGCGGAAUGGGUGUCGCCCCAUCCUCAGCCCCGUUUGAGUGGGGUCUUGCUGGUCUCACGCCUUCAUUCACUCAUGCGUUCAUCCCGUCAUUCAACAGUUGAUCCUUACUCAGCAAGCCCACAGCCCGGCACGGGCUGGGCACCCGCCACGCUAGCGCGUCCCUUGAUGGCCUCUGCCACCCCUGGGAGGGCAGGCCGGGGGGUUGCUUCUGCCACAGGCGGCCUCACGGCUGUCCCAGGCGCUGGAGCGGUGGAUUCCCCGCUCUGUAGUAGGCAUGCAGGACGGUGCGAGGGGCGGGCCUGGCUGGACUUCCUUUGGAACCUUUAAUUCAAACCCCAGAGGAACCUCAGACUGCCUGUGCUUGCCGCUGGUCCGAGCCAGCCCCGCCUGCUCUCUCUGCCUCCCGCACUCCAUCCUGUCGCUGAGUGCUGAUGACUGUCCUGGACCCCUGGCCCUGAACUCAGGACCAAGGUGGGAAUAUAGGACAGUGUGGUGUGUGUCCUUUCGGGCUCUGGCCACAAAGGUCUCCCUCUUGAGUUGAGGUGUGUGAUUUGGACCCCUCCCUCCAAGAUGCCUUCCUUCACUGGGGCUAAAACCAGCUCCUUUGCCCCCCAGGCAUUGGCUGGGGCCUGUCUCAUGCAAAGGACAGAUGGCUAGGACCCUCGGGGGAGCUCUGCAGGCUCCGCUUCUGCCGGCUGCCCACCUGCUCUGUUCUGCUCUGCCUGGCGGCCCCUCCCCUGGCUCUCCACCGGUCAGGUGGACUGCCCACCUGAGGCUGCUUGCCAUAGUCUGUUGCUCAGCCUGGCCCACUUCCCCCUCCUCUGUGCCGAGUCACCUGGCUCAUGCCCUGGGCUCCGCUGUCUCGCCCUCUGCCUAACGGGUUGCUUUUCCUUGCUGAGCCCACGUCUGUGGUUACCUGGCCUGCCUGCUGCCUUGCCACCUCCCGCCUGCUGGCCUUUUGCCCUGCUAUGGGUCCAAAUGCCCCUCCCCUUCAGUGCUGCCCGGGGUUCCAGUGGGUCCCCAGUGUCCAUGGGACAAGCUCUUGCUGUCAGGCCACCUCCCCCAGCCAUCCUCAAAUGCUUCCAGCCGUGGGACUGACUUCCUAGGGUCUAAGUGACCGUGGGAUGCAGCGAGACCUGUCCUGUCCCCUCCCUCCGUCCAGAUCCCUUGUCGUCAUGUCCUAACAGGAGUCACCCAUGGCCUGCCCGUAUUGCCGCCCUGUCCCUGUGAGUCCUGGGCUGUGCCCUGCCCCAGGGCUCAUGGGGGCUGCCACCUGGGCCUGUUGCAUCCCUUGCCCAUGGCCCGUCCCCACGAGCCACCUCCCUCCACUGACAACCACACCACAGGUCGGCCCCGUCCUUGGGACAUGGGCUGCAACUUGGUCGGGUUGGCUGAAGAACUGGACGGAAGGGAUGGAAGAACCCCCGGAGGACCCCCACCCUGGACCACGUCCUUCCUGAUGGCCGCCUGGCGCCUCACGCCCACCCUGUGCCCGUCGCCACCUCCUGGUUUGGGCCGAAGCCGUCGUUCGGAAUCCUCCGUGGGAAGGGACCUCGGACGCGUGAUCCCAGCACUGUCCAGCUUUCCAAUCGGCAGACUAGGAUGGAAGUGCCCUUGUGAGCUGGGGGGCCCUUCAAAGGGCCAAGGAAAAGCGCGGGCCGAGGGACCAGCCUCUCAAAUGGGCUUCGAGCUCCAAUGACCUUCGCUCACCCCCUUGAAAUGUCUGGAAAACAGAAUGGGCAGAUUUUCUGUCUUCAAAGUUUCCGGCUAAACCUCUUCAAGUUCUUUAUUGUUUGGGACUGAGACACUCAGCAAUGGUAAUGGGUCGUUUCUUUUGUAUUUGCCUUGAAAGGCCAAAAUAUUUUUAUAUUGCUACAGACAAAGCCGUCUAUUUAAAAAUGAACUCCAUGUCCGUCGUUUCCCACCGGGGAGACCGUGUACAACGUGUGUGUCUCUGUGUACUCAAGGGUCUUGAAACAGGUUUCUCAUGGGAUGGCCACUCACGGGGGUCCAGGGGGGAAGCGCCUGCCCUGCCCUGGGGUCUGGGGAAUCUGGCCCUAAUGGCAGGUCUGCCCUGCUUUGUCUAGGAUGGGAGCCCCGGGAGGGUCUGGCUGCCCGAACAUUUACUCUGCCUGUGCCUGCAUCUGUCACGUGUAUGUGUUUAAAGACUGUGGGUUGUGCACACCUUGGUGGUUAACGCAGUGAGAGGAAGCAGGAGGGUCUAAGCUAUUGUGAAUGUUCUAUUUUUCUUGGCAGGAGGUCAUUUUGCUGGUAUCUGUUGCACGGUUCACAUAGUGAAUGAAUGAAUGAAUGAAUGAAAGCAUGGAGGAAUGGAUAAAUAAAUAGGUAAAGAAGUAAGCAAGCACGGAUGAGAGUGUACACUGAACAGGAGCCAAUUUGGUAUAUAGGAGAUCAACAUAUAAAUCAAUAAAAUAUGGAAUCAGUAUGUAAAUAGGGCCACACAGGAAGCAAUAUCAGAUCAUCAUGGACCAAGGAACGUGUUAUUCAAGUAUAUAGCACUUAAAGUUUGUCAAUAAAAGAAUAAAACCUAAGUAAAAGAAAGAAUAAGAAGUAUGCCUAAACCCAUGGUGACGAUAGUGUACUGUAUACUUAGUCUGCUAAGAGGGCAGAUCUUAUGUUAGCAGAUCUUAUGUUAAGAUCUAUGUUAAGUGAUCCUAUCAUAAAAGAUGGUGAUGAUAAUAAGAGAAGAGAGGGGGAGAAACUUGUGGAGGCGAUGGAUGAGUUUGUGACGUGGAUUGUGGUGACGGUUUCACAGUGUAAACUUACAUUCAGACUCAUCAAGUUGUCUGCAUUAAUUAUGUACAGCUUUUUGUGUGUCAAAAAAGUGAAAAUUAAAAAAAUAAAGAGGAAGUAACUGUGAAAAAUCCACAAACCAAUGGUGAGGAUGAGAUUAAAAGGCACACUGAAAUGAAAAGAUGCCAGAGAGAGGGGACGAGUGACUGAAAGGGGGAGGCAAGAAGCAAAACCAUAAAUAGAAAGAAGAAAGAUGACUCUCUUAAGAUUUCUUUUAAAAAUUUUUCCUUUUUCUCUCAAAGCCCCCCGGUACAUAGUUGUAUAUUUUUUUUAGUUGUGGGUCCUUCUAGUUGUGGCACGUGGGAUGCUGCCCCAGCAUGGCUUGAUGAGUGGUGCCAUGUCCGCGCCCAGGAUUCGAACCGGUGAAACCCUGGGCCGCCGAAACAGAGCGUGUGAACCCAACCACUCAGCCACGGGGCCAGCCCAAAGAUGACUUUUUUAAAAUUAGGAGAUAAGUAAAUAUAUAAGGAAGGCCAUGCUGGAUCAUUACCAGCUAAGCAUUAGGACUGACCCAAACACGUGCUCCUGGCAUAGAAAAAUAAACACAGAAAAAAUUCAAAGGAGGUAAAAACGAAAGAGGACCAGGGGACCAAAGAUGAGAGUUAACUUUAACCAAAAGUUUUCUAACUCUGGGCACACGUUAAUAAAUAAAUACUGAAAUGAAAGAAAGCCAAAAAAAAAAAAAAAAUAAAAGGGAUGGGUGAGCGAGCAGUGGAAAUACCUGGACCUAGAUGGGAGCACGCCAUGAGCUGAAGUCUGUUACGUGAAAGGAUGAAAGAAAGAGAAUAAAAUAUCUAAAUAAAAAUUGAGAAAUAUGGGAGAAACAGUAACAAAGGUUGUCUAGAAAUACAUUCAUGAGUGAAUAAAUAAAUACAUAAAAGGAAGUGACGGUAGCAGUGGUGGUAAAAGACUGUCAUGGGUCAAGGAUAUGGUUAGUCCAAUUCUCAAAAUCACAGAACUAUCAAUAAAUAAUAAGUAUCUAAAUAAACACAUAAUGAGAAUCUAAAGUGACAAAGCCAGGAUGAGUAACGGGGAGGAGCCUGGCCCGCAGGCGCUCCUGAUGAGCAUGCUGGGAGGCUUGUAAUUAAUCCCAUCUGGGCACCGAAGCUCCAGGAGAAUGAAGGAAGCACUGAGAAAGGAGGAGAUGUGGAAAGCUGUAACAAAAGAGAGAAAGGAAUGAUAAAAAGGGGGUGAGGACUGAAUGGAUAGAUGGGUGGUUCUGCGGGGAGGGUGAGGCUAGGACUGCUCGUAAGGGACCCUCACAAACUGGGUCGUAACUGGUCAAAAUCUGAGCACCCAGUUCCAUUAAUAGAGGAGUAGAUACCUAAUUAGAAGAAAGAAAACAGGCAGGAAGAAUAGUAGGAAGGAAGGAAGGAAUGAAUGAGUAAAAAGAGUUGCAUUGACUGACGAGGAGGGUGUUGCAGAUGGGGUCAGGGUUCAUCAGAUCCCGGGUGCCUGACCUCCAAAAGAAUGAAAGCCAGAAAGAAAGAAAGAAAGGUUGAAAGACUGGUAGGAAAAAACAAUUAAGAUGGGGAAAGACUCAAAAUAAAAAAAGAGAAAUAAAAAAGACAAUAAAUAAUAGGUCAGACAAGUGUAUGAGAGGGGACUGGUUUAGCACCGAUAACCCAUAUUCAUUAAAAUCUGUGGCCUUGAAGUUUAUAAAUAAUAAAAACAAUACCAUCAAUAAAAGGCUGAAAGAGUAAAUGCAUGGGUUCCAUGCAAACACAAGAAAAGGAGUUUGAAAUGUUGAAGAAAAGACCGGGAGAAAGAAAGAUGUAGGAAAAGAAAUUAAAAUAGACAUGCAGAAGAAAAGGCCCACACUGGAUAAGUAUUUAAAUAUAAUGAACAAUAUUAUUCAUUACAUGCAAUAAAUAGUAAGAGCUAAGGUUCAUCAGUAAAAAAACCACAUACCUAAAAGAAAGAAUAGAGGAUGGCUGUGUGAAUGAAUGAAUGAGAAACAGUGAUUUUAAUUAAUUCUCUUCUGCACUUGAGGCUUGUAAGAAUAAAAGAAUGCAAAAAAGAGACAGCAAGGAGGGAGGGGACACAGAAAAUGAUGACAAGGUGGACAUAAGCAAUGAAAACAUAUUGAAUGGAUAAAUAAAUACAUGAAUAUACGAGAGAGAGAGAGAGAGAGAGAGCGUGCGUGCUACUAGCAAAAGACGAGAAGGCAUCAUGAGCCAAGAAUUAUGAUGAGCUCAAAACUGGGCUCUUGAGAGAGUUACAUAAAUCCUUAAUCAAUCACCAGUACACGAAAUUAACGAACAAAAGGGGGCCCCGCAUGGACUGGUGUUGAGGAGGCUCCGGCAACCACAGAUUAGGGUUAAUCCAGUUCUGUGCACCUGAGGUCCAUAAAUAAAAGAAUAAAUACUGAAAUAAAAGGGUGACAGAAAGAAUGAAUGGACACAUGAAUGACUGAAUUAGAAAUGGAAAUGCCUGGAACAGCCAGGAGGGGGUGGCUCAUGGGAUUGUCAGUCAUCUCACUCCAGGCACCUGAGGUCCGUGCAUGUGAAGUGCUGCAAGAAAAAAAGCAUCACAGAGUUAGAGAAAGAGAUGAAGAAAGGCAGGCUGAAGCUAAGUGAAAGAGAAAGGGGAAGAAACCCCACCCAAUGAAGAGGUGACCAACCCCGGGCGUGUCUGAGAGCAGGAAUUUAGGGUUGGGAAUGAGGUCGUCGUGAAUUGGAAAGAUGGAUGAGGUCAUCCAGUCCAUGGGCAAGGGCAAAUGGAGAGAAUAAAAAGAAGCAAAAACGGAAAAAGGAAAGAUAACAAACACCCAAAGUGAUGAAUGGGUAGUUAACAGAGGUCUUCUGAACAGCGAUUAUCAUUAGUUGACAUACAUACUCCUGAAAUAGGUGAAUACACCUUUCAAAGAGUAAAUGAAAAACAGAAGAAAUACCCGGCCCGGUAAGACAAGGCUGCAUCUUCCAACACUGUAAUAAAAUAUAUGCAAUUGAGGUCCAUAAAUAAAAGAAUAAAUCCUGAUGUGUAAAAGGUGACUAAACGCAGGGAAGAAAGAUUCUAACUGCAAAUAAAUAACGGGCCAGUGAUGUUUAUUGGGCACGUGGGGUUUUGGCUAAUAUAAUGAUUUCGCAGGAGACUAAAAAGUGAAAGAAUACCCAAAAUAAGAAAGAAAGGACAAAUGAGUGAGUGAAUGAAUGAAUGAGAGAUGGAGCUGCACGGAUGAAGGACGAGGAUGUCGCAUGUGCUAAUCCGGAUUCAUCCUUCUGGGAGCCUGAGAUGUAAGAAUGAGAGAAUGUAAAGAAGAAUGAGAGAAAGGGAGAAAGAUGAAAUCUGGGAAGAAAUAAAAAGAAUACACGAAAGAAUAAAUAGGACUUGUGAAGGGAGAUCUUCAUGAACCAAGGGCUGUGAUUGGUUUAAAGCUGAGCGGAAGUGCGUCAGUAAAGGAGUCAAAUCUAAGCGAAUGAAUGGGUGAGUGACAGGAAGAAAUGGAUGGAUGACUGGAAGGAAGAGAGGGAGAGAAGGAGGAGGGAAGGAGGAAGGAAGAAGGAAGAUAAGAAGGAAGGAAGGAAGGAAGGAAGGAAGGAGGGCUGGAUGAUUGGAAGGAAGAGAGGGAAGCAGGGGUCUUCCUUCCUGUUUUGUGGUCCCUGUGUUCUAGCCAGCUGAAGGAAGUGGGUACCGGAAGGGACGGCUCUUGUCGUCUUGUGUGCUUGUUACACACACAUUACCUGGCAGGGAGAAGCUGGUUUAGGAAGACCCUGGCCUUGGAGCGCCAUUGUCACCUCCUGGCUGUUUGGACCGCAUCACUUGCUCUCUCAUGCUCAGUUUCCCCACCCACAAACCCGGAAUGGCAUCAGCUCCCCGCUUGGACUGGUCAUGGGGCAAGUGGUCUCCUGCCUCUUGGCAGUGCCCUAUCUAUAGCCCUGGACAGGUGGACGAGCUCCGGCCCUGGGCUCUGCAGAAGGUUGCAUGGACAAGGGGUGUUGGGCCAGGUGGGUGUCUUGGCCCCUCCCUGGGCGUGGGUCACCUGCAAGGGAGGCUUUUCCCGCCAGGGGGCAGCAGAGGGCAAGGGAGCAGGAGGCCCUGGGUGGCGGGUGGACCCCGCCCGCUGCGCUAUCCUGGGUGUGGUGCCACUCCCAUCCAGGGGCCUUGCGGGAGGAAGGCCGGCAGGCCAGAAAGUGGCUGGGAGGACCUGAGAAAGAUGACCCAGGAGCCCAGUGACCCAGGCGCCCAGAGGCACAUCACCGGAAACCUUGUUCCUGCAACUUUCUGAAAUGUGCCCGGGCGCCCCCCACCCAGCCGGGUCUUCUACAGGGCGGCCGCCUGCCCUUCACAGCUUGGGGGGCCCGGGGCAGGGGCACCUCAGCCCGGGUUUGCAGAAGUGGUCUCGGGACCCAGCCCCCUUGACAUGGCCUCCCCAGAGCCCGUUUCAAGGCCUCCUGUCUCCUCGCCUGUGUUCCGAUGUACUGUGUAUUUCGGUGGCAGGCGCGUCUGCCCGUGUGUUGAAUUGUCCUCUCUCCUGACCUGCCCUCCCAGGGCUGCGGGCGGGUCUGGGGAGCGUUUGUACUGGCGUUUUGGACCCCACGGACUCCCUGGUUCUUCUGUCCAGUCUCUCUUCUCUGUAGUGGACAGGAUUUGUGCAGUUGUGUGUGGUAUGCCUGUGUUUGUCUGUAAAAACGAGGACCAAAUUUCCACUCAACUUCUGAAUUCCUGUGUGGGACAUUAAAUAAAAAACUGGAUUCUUAGCAAGUGCCCUGAGCAGGAGGAGACAGUUUGGCUGGACCCAGGAUCCGUGGCUGGGAGCACGUGGAGCCGAGGGAAGUUGGGUGGGGGUGGGGCUAACCUCUCUGGUGGGCAGGUGGGAGGUGGGGACACUAUGUGGCCCGGGGGAAGGGGGGGUUGCACUUGGAGUGACGUUGGACCCUGGGUGGGAACAGGGAGUGUCGGGGAGGGUCGAGGGCACAGGCAGCAAGGUGAGGCAGUCGCUCUGGUCCCCACCAGCGAUGCUGAAGGUGCAUGCUGAGGGCGUGAAGUGGGGGCCACAGGCAUCAAAGCUAUAGGUUUGCAGACAGGAUUCGAGGAGGGAGGGAGAGGGCAUCAGGAGUGACUCCCAUGCUUCUAGCGUGGGCCCCGAACCAGAAAACGGCAUUUAGAAGAUGGAGGACACGGAGUUCACGUGUCAGGAGCCGCCCUUCCGUGCCUCCAGCACCACGUGUCUGGGCCAUGUGAGCAAGGUCACAUGGGCCCGAUGUGGUGCUGGGGGCGGCAGGGCUCUGCUCUUCUCUUCUUUUGGAGUCUGGGGGCUUCGCACUCUGCCUUGGCCAGCCGGAAGCCUGGGAGUGUACUUAUUACCCGUGGGGAUGCCUGCUAACACGGGGUCCCUGAAGAGCCCCCCCCCCAACCAUCCCCGGUGUCACUGUGUGGACGAGGGUGGGGGCGGGAGGGGCCUGGGGCAGAAAGAGACUGGGAGGGUGUUUCCUAAGAACCCUCUGUGGUUGGUUACGAGGUCCCCUGGGGCUCAGGGAGACUUAACAUUGGGUAUAUAAUGGAGGGAGGCCCAGCCACAUGUGCCUGGAGGAAAUCUGGAGGAACAGGAGCAAACCAAGGGGGGCCUGCUCCCAACGUUUGAGGGGCUGUCGACGGGUCACAAUGGCUGGAAAUGGGCCAGUGGGAGAAGCUCCAGGGAGACCGACCGGUGCCCUGAUGGGUGGGUGAGUUGGGGUCAGAUGAGUUCUGUGUUCUUGCGAACACCGAGGGUAUGAGGCUGUCCACUCAGGGCUCUCAGAGUCUUUGGCUCUGAAGAGUCUGGGAUCUGACGUUCUAGGGGUCUCCAUUUCUGGGAUGCUGAGAUUCAGGACAGAGUUCCUGAUGGCCGCAGAAGCCAGGGUUAGAAGCCAGGCCCCCCCCAGUCUGGUUCUGCCUGUGCCCCACCCGCGAGGUCUGUGUAGGGGUCUCAGUGCUCCACUCUGCUCAGGGCCUAUCUUAAGUGUGGGUUUCUUUCUUUUAAUUUUUCAAAACAAGGACAAAUUUUGUCUCUUGACUUUGACCUUUGCAUGCACCCCAAGCACAAAUCCUUCCCCUGGUGACACCAGGAGCUACAGAUCUCCUUGGAUUCCCCUUGACUCCAAACUCCCUCCUCUGGAAGGUUGGCCUCUGGACUGACCUUCCAGAGGGUGGAGGACAGAGCCUGGGUCUCUGGGGCCGAUGGGCCAAGGGCCCCCUUGUUUUCUUAAUGUAAAUGGUGUGGAUGGCACGUGCCCUAGAGCAGGAGGUCACCCAUCACCCUGACAUGUCACCCAUCUUUCACCUCUUCAAAUCCUUGUCUGUGGGCACACUGAUUUUUCAGUGGACAUCUAUUUUUUGUGUGUGUGAGCAUCCAUUUCUUGAACCUAAUUGCCAUUCUGCACCACAUGCACUUUUUUGCGUCUUGCCUUUUCCAUUUACUGCUCUGUUGUCAGCGUUUUUCUUUCUUCCAUAGUCAUCAUCUCACUGGCUGCGUUGUGUCCCAUUGAGUGGCUCUGCCAUCAUUUGCAACACCAACCUGCUAUUGUUAUGCAUAACUCAUCUUUUUAAUCUUAUAAAUUAUGCCACAGCUAAUGGCUUAGCACACCCACUUUUUCUCCUUCUUACAAAUUACUUUCCUGCACCCAGAAGUGAUCAUUGCUUCACGGCGUGUCAGUUUCUCCUGCUAGACUGUGAGCCCCUUAAGGGCAAGGAGCCUGUUGAAUUGAUCUUUGUAUCUCUAAUGCCCAACAUGUUGUAGAUGUUAAUAGAUGCUUGCUGGGUGAGUGGAUGGAAGGAUGGAUGAAGAUGUGAGUGGGUCAGUGGUUGGCUGAUGUGUGCGUGGAUGGAAGGAUGGAUGAAGAUGUGAGUGAGUGGGUCACUGGUUGGCUGAUGGAUGAGUGGAUGGAAGGCUGGAAGGAUGGAUGAAUAAAUGGAUUGGUGAAUGAAGGAAUGCAUUAGGGUUGAGCUUCUUGAGUGAAAGGCCAGUGAUUCCUGUAUGAAUAUUGACUAAUUUCAGAAGGCUUUCAGCAUUUUACAAUGUCCAGCAAUGUAUUAGCAUUUUGUUAAGAUAUGGCUAGUUUAUCUCUGUUAAAAAAGUAUUUUUGUGUCAUUUUAACUUGCAUUGCUUUGAUUACUAAUGAAGGUUGAAAUUUCUCACAUAUGUUUGUUAACAAAUUGUAUUCUAUUUUCUGUGAACUGUUUGUCCAAGUCCAUCGGGUCAUGGCUUUCUGAUGAGAGUGGUCAAGGAUGGAAUGGGUUUCCUUGGGAUGUAGUGAGCCCUCCGUCAUUGGAGGCAUUCAAAGAGCAGGCCAGGCAGACACUUGAUGAGGGUAGUUUUAAGGAGAUUCAAAUAGUGGGUGUGGCAUUGGCUCAGACAGCCUUGCUUCUCCCUGGGAAGUGGGUUGGUGGGGAUGACAUCUUCCAUUUGGCAUACCAGUGACAUUUUAAGGUCCCAUCCCUUGGCGGGGCUUGUGUAUUGAUGAUUUAUAAACUCUAACCUCACCCUCUGUAACUCUUGUGGGACAGGAAUAUCUCUUUGGCCUGCCAAGGUCUGGACAGCCGUGCCCAGCGUCUUUUAUAGUUAGCUAGUGGACUUCCCACCAGCCCUGUCACUCCCCACCCCCCCCCGACCCCCGCAUUGCACCUUGAGGAAGCCAGAACCAUGCGCCACCAUUUAUCACCUGUUAGGGCAACCAGGUGAGGCGAUCUGCUGCCCUUUGUGUUCCCGGUAUCCUGUGAUGUGUGAGCAAAUGUCCCCGAGGCCUCCGUGGUGGUCUUUGGGGUCUCAUUGAUUAAUGGGACAUGUUGGAUCAGGACUGAUGCAGAAUCCUCCUUCGGUUUUUUUCAGCUGGGCCAAUUAAAUUCUGCGAUCCCAGGAGCAGAAUGCACCCCAUGCUGUUCUCAGACUUCCCCUCAUGCCCCACUCCAAAGCUGGCAGGGCACGAGGGUCAUCAUGGCCAUUUGGGAGGGUGCAUUACCCAUGGAGGACUAGCCCCUGCUUUCUAGAACACCCUCCUCUCUCAGCAGAGGGCUGCUGCUUGCCGCUGACCCCUCUACUAUAGCACUGAGUGCUGUUUGCCUGCAUCAGAGUUACUCACCCACGUGUUGACCCCAGCAUCGAAGCUUGGGAGGCCAGCAAUGAUGUCCAGCAUUAAUUUAAGCCAUCCAUCCAUCCUUGCCUUUGGCCUCCAUUUCUUGACCUGGUGCGUUUGGCCUCUCCUUUUCCUGAAAGCAAACCCUUCCAUCUUGGGCGGGCUGUGUAGCGCCAUGGGCUGUGGUCAUGAGGCGAACGCCCUUAUUUGUAGCUUUCUCCUCCGGGGUCACUGCUCUGAGCACGUCCCAGCUGGAUCUCAUCUGCCACCGUCACCCACAUAGCUUCCUCCCCAUGGCGCUUUCCCAUGCAUCACGCACCCCAACGGAUCCAGGCCAGGGUCCGAGAGCAACCCCCCCACCCGUGAGCGGAGAUGUCCCCCCAGGCCACCCUGCCUGGUGCAUGGUCCCUGCCAUGAGCUUUGCCUUCGGCCUGUCCGCUUCCUCCACCAGAUGGCAGUGGUUGUAACUCAUCCGUUCACCCCUUCAUCCCUUCAUUCGUUCACUCACAGUCAACAUUUCUCGAAAUCAACUAGUGCUAUCCUAGAGCUGGCUCACAAGGACUCGUUCCGACAUCUCCUUUUCAAAGAAAAGAUGAGCAUGUUUGCAAGCGGCCAUGUUUGUGUGUCAGGAACAAGGCAAGACCCUUGAUUCAACUGCAACUUCUAGAUGCGAAUUCUGUUCCAAGUUUGAUUGCCCUCUCUCACUUUGUUCCUUAGAAAACUAGGUUGAUUAGUAAUCAGCAAACUGUGUUCCUGGGUGCUCAGAAAUCAUAGCCCAUAUCCUCAAGAGGCCAGAAUGAGAGCUGGGAGGUAUGAGAUGACAGCGGAUUCUGGCCGAGAGCAGGCUUUCAAGUCGUUAGAACGCCCUGAUCUUGCUUGGAGGCGGUCUUAGAGCCAUUCCUGUCCCUUUCGAGAUUAGUUAAUGCUGGGCUCUACUUAGAGAAAAUUGGGGGAGAUGAUUGCCCUUGUGGAUGACAAAGAUCAUGCCUGGUGUGGGGGUCUGCACAGAAUAAUCCACUGACAGACCGUGGUGUUCGAGGCGCAUGGCACUUUGUAACCUCUGGAGGCAGCCCUGAGCAUCCAUGUGGGUCCCGGGCCAGGCAGGGCCCUCGUUUAGCUCACUGCUGCCUGCGUGGGACAGGGCGUAGUCUUGGGGGCUCCACAUUUUAUUCAUCACACUGGAGAGUGAGUGUGGUGGAUAAAGUCAGGACCCUGGAGUUGGACAAACGUGUGUGGUUUGAACUUGCGGCGACAGCUUGAGUCUGUCUUGUGGGGGGACCAUAGCACCCACCUCGCAGGGCUGUUGUGAGGAUCAUGUAACCAGGAUUUUGAACUGUGAUGUUGGAAAGGCGGGCGCGUGCCCCUGGGGGAGUGCUGGGGGCAGGAUGAAAGGCCAGGAGGGGCAGCCUGAUUUGGGCAGGUUGGUGGGAAAUCAUUUUGCCAAACGUGCAGGGGGAUCUUGGGGGACAGAAUGCUAAAUUUGUAUGACAGUGUAAGGUUAGAGAGGAGUAAUUUUGGCAUGAACCUUCAUGCUGGGGCAUGAGUUCUCUUUGGGCAGCGCCCCUGGACCCCCUGGGGUACGCGUUCAUGAUCACCUUUGUGAAAGGUUGGAGGCACCUGGGUCUGGCCUGUAGGCAGCACUUAGGCACGUCCCUCCACAAGAGAUACCCCCUAGCAGUGUCUUCCCCCCAAAUCUUAGGCACCAGUCAUCAAAGGCACUGCACAGCCCCUCCCCAACUAACAACAUCGGGGCUCUGAUGCCUGCAGCCUGGGUGCCUGACACAGUCCCAGGCCAGUGGCAGGGCUUGCCUUCCACUUUUGUUGAAUGGAUAGACUUGUGGAUGGUCAAAUAAUGAAACUGUAACCAAAUGCGGCGGUGGAUGUUUAUGAUCUUUACUAAGAGAUUGUAUUUUGCUCCUGAUGAACCUGUUAUCAAUCGUUGUAUUGUAUCUUAUGGACUUUUGUAUGACGUUUGUUGUUUGAAAACCAGGAUUCUUGUUUUGGGUGUCAUGCGGUGCAACUUGAGCUGUCUGAUUAACGAGUCAGUUUUUUGUGUUAGAAAUUAGAAUCCGGCAGACCCUGGGGCCACUUGACUAACUGUGCGGUGUUGGGCAAGUCACUUCUCCUCUCUGACCCUCAGUCUUUUUUUCUCUAAGCUGAAGGUCACCAGAAAGCUCACCUCACAGGGUUGUUGUGAGGGUGACGGGCUGGGUAAACUUUAAAUUGCUAAUGAAAUGCUGGCUCUUAUUGAGAAUGGUCAGAUGUCAGGGGUUGUCUCUAAGAGAAUAAAAAGUCAGCAUGUAAUCUUAUGCUAAGAUUGUAUUUCCAACGGUCACUGGACCGUGUAAGACAGACGCUGAGUGGUCUACAGUGUUUAGCGAUGCGGGCCCAGGGUGAACGCUGGUUUGACUAAUGAGUGAUGGCUCUUUCUCCUGGGAGCCUUCCCUCCCCUCCCUGGGCUGCUGGCUCACAUGUGCAGUUUGAAGCGGCUGGGGUGACUGCCUUGGGUUUGCCGUACCUGUUGGUGCCCUGUCUGCUUGGAGGCGUUUCUGCAAACGUCUGUAGAGGCCCGGGUGUGGUUUGUCGGGGCGGAAGGCGGGGCCGUUGAGAGAGCCUGAGGAGGGGCUUCUGGGUAACACCCCAGGGACUAAAACUCUUUCUUCUGCCCUGUAGGAGGGAGGCCUGCGCCCCUAGUUUCCUCUCACCCCUCUUCCUUCUUUCCCUGGCUGUGGCUGAAGGAAUAGCCUUCUGCCCCGCCCGUGGGCCUGGAACCCAGUGCGAGGCUGAUGACACUCUCCCCCUGGGCUCCCUGCUCCGUGGCGUGGGAGCCCGCGUUAGAGACCUGCAGGCUGAGAAUCAGGGACAGCGGGGGUCAGAGCGGGUGUCAGAGCGGGGACUCAACGGUCUUGCAUGGAAAGCCGGUGUUGUUUCGACCCCACCCAACAAGCCCUCCCAGUUGCUGUUGCCAUCCGUCCCAGGCUGUCCCCGUCCCCACCGUGAGCCUGACAGUGUCAGGAGGGGUCGCACUCCUCCAGAGCUCAGCAGGGUCCGAGGUGAAUGUCGGAAUGUGGCCGCCUUCCGUAAGGUAUUGCCCUGGCUCUGGCAGAAGUCUCGGGAGACAUCCCACAGGGUCAGGUGGAUCGGGGUCUCUUCCCGAGACCCCUGAAGUCCUUUCCUGGCCCUUGUCUUGUGGGUGGGGGAGCAGCAUUCUACCCUAACGUCCCCUCCUUAUGUCUGAGGUGGGGUUGAGCUGGGCAUCUGCUCUGCCCCCUCCUUCCCUCCCUGGCCUCCUCGUUUUGCCUCUGGCUUUCACAGCCUCUGUGGGCAGGCGCUGGGCAUCUCUGUGGCCCACACUCCUGUCUGCCUGCAUCCUGAGUGUCACUGUGAUGAGCGGCCCUCACCCCUUUGCGCCGGCCCUGCCUGCCCCUGGAGCACCAGCACAGCCUCCCUGUUGCUCCCUCCCUUGGGCUUUGCUGAGGAGGCCUUUCGCUGUCCCCUUUGGUAUCUACACUGUGGCCAUCCCAUGUCCUGGGAACUUGUCUGAAGCAGAGGGGGCCUCACUUCGGUGCUCCCGAGGGGCCCCACUGGAGGACAGGUAGUAGGGCCCUCCUCCCAGGGGACGGUGAGUCCAUGUUCAGGUGUCUGCUCCCCGAAGGCCCUGGGCUCCUUGAAGGCCGAGCCUGUGUGUGGCCCGCAGAUGACGGACUCUUUCAGGUGCCCAGUCUUUUCACGUCGGUGUCCCCUUGACAUGGGCAGGGCUGGGUCCCCAUCUCCUGAGGGCGGGUGAGAAAGUGGAGGCUCGGUGAGGUCACGGCUAGGCUGCCCUUGAACCCCAUCGCUACUCUGAGCCCUGUGCCCCUCGGACCUUUUACAGCCCUGCUUCCUGCACAGUAGGCGCCUAAUAGAUGCUCACUGACAGAUGAGGGUGCGUUUUUAGUGGGUGUGCAGAGGUGGAUUGACGGUUGGCUGAGGUAUGCGUGGAGUCCACACAUGUUUCUUUGAGAGGAAAGGUGUGUUUUUCCCAGCAAAGCCUCCUCAGGCCAGUCCUGAGGGCCUCUGCCCAUAGCAGGGCCUCAGCCCAGGGCCGGGGCCGGAGGGCAGCCCCAAGAGGGCCCCUCCUGGCAGAAACAUGGGUCUUCUGCACGUUUUUGGAAAUAUGUAUAUCUGAAUAAAACUUCGCUUGGGCUAAAAUGUUUGUGUUGUGGCCCAAGAGAUUCUGAUAAUGUGGCAUUUGACAUUUCCCAAGGUGGCAUUUGACAUUUCCCAAGUCGGAGGGCCAUCUGGUCACACCCACGCCCUCUCUGAGGCCGGCUGGGGCCUCAGGAGCCCUUGUCCUGGGGAGGGGAGGUCUCCUACCUGAAAAGUCUUUGUCCCCACCGUUCGUGACAAUCAGCACUGAAUGUGAGGCACAGGCCGAGUCUCAGAUGCAGCCAUGGGCACCCAGCAAACUAGGGGAGAUCGGACCCCAGACCUGGGUCCUUUUCAUCCCUUCUUGCCCCCCCCCCCAAAGAACAGUGCGUGGGUGCACGUUGGGGUGGGGCUCUGGAUGUCUCGCCCAUUUGACUUCAGGUCCUGGUGUCACCAUUUGCCAGCCUAGUGGCCUCAGGCAGGUUCCUUGAACCAGCUGAGCCUCGGUAUUCCCGCCUGUAGAAUGGGUGCUGACUGACAGAGUCCACUCAGGGGAUGGUGGUGAGUGCUGACCAUGCCAGCGGCGGCGUGCCUCACGACACCCCAUAGGCUGGCUCCCGAGAAUCAAGGUCUGCGUUCGAGGCCACCCUGCUGCCUCCGUGUGCGUGACCUGGGCGAGUUUGCUCACCUGCAACCUGGAAAUAGUCACAUCUACCUGGCCCAGUUAUAGUGGGAGAUUGUUUCUGUGAGGAUGAGUGCUUUGUUACCUGGUACACAGGUGCCCUUGUCCCUUGCCCUCCCGGCGGGCCCUGGGGCUGGCCACGUGCCCUGCAGCCUGUGGGCGCUGGUCACAGAAGCCCUGUGCUCCCUGGAACUGUGGUGGCCCAAGUGGCUGUUGGGUGGGGUGGAGGGCGUCAGGGGAGCACCCGGGACCAGCUGCGGGGAGACAGCGAGGGAGGGUUUGCUUGUAAAUGCAGACAUUUAACGGGCUUGGAGGGGAGGGGGUUGAGGCCGAAGUGGGGGGACUAGGGGGGAAUUUUAGGAACCCCCAGAGGAGGAGGAGGCUGAUAUUUUAGAAAACACCUGAGUUGACUUGGUUGUGGGUUUGGCAGGCGAGCUGGGGUGCUUUGCACAAGGGCCAGGAGUUUGGGAUUCUGGGUUAGCGAGGUGAGACCCUUCAGAGGUUACUGCUGCAGGAGGGUGUCAGGACUAGGGUUAUGCUUCCAGAAGUCUCUGCAGGUCGGGGAGACCAGGGCAGGGCUGAGGGUGGGACACCAGAGGUUGAGGGGUGCUAGGCGGAUGGGCAGGAGCUGGUGGCUGGGUGCUCCCCUCGCCCCAUGGCUGCUGGGGAGCCGGGGACUUCUCCCCGCAUUGCCCAGCCUCUCGAGUGCCCCGUCUCCUCAGCGGAUGGGCUCUCUCCUCUCCUUGCCCCCGGCCUGCCUGUCUGCAUGAGGACUCUUGUCAGCCAGUGCGACCAGGAGCAGGGGGCCUUCAUGUGCACCUGUGUCUCUCUCAGCCUCCACAGCCACGGGGACGCCCCGCACACGUUCCUGCGGGACAGGCUGGACCCAAAGACUCUGGACCCGGGCCGCCCCCUGCGAGGAGGGGCACACCCUCCCCGCCUCCCCUCCGGUAGCCACCCGUCUUCUGACUGAUGACUUCACUGAUCUGAGGGUCAGACACACGAGUUUGACCCCUGCCUGCCCCUCACGAGCCCUGAGACUUGGGGGAGCCACCGAGCCUUCGUUGUCCGCAUCUGUGAAGUCUCCUCGGACACCUACCUCACAGGGUUGUUGUGAGGAGCAUGUGAUGUGGUUCAGAAGGGCCCAACCUGGGGCCUGGCACACCCGAUUGUGCUCUCAAUAAAUGUGUUUCUUGCCUUAACCAACA